GCUGGUUUGGCUCAGUGAUUAGAGCAUCAGGCGGAGACUGAUGGGUCAUGGGUUUGAUUCCCAUCAAGGGCA
rfam:Myotis lucifugus cont2.34128, whole genome shotgun sequence.